AGAGCGAACGCUGGCGGCAGGCCUAACACAUGCAAGUCGAGCGCCCGUAGCAAUACGGGAGCGGCAGACGGGAUAGUAACACGUGGGAACGCGCCCUUCGGUUCGGAAUAACUCAGGGAAACUUGAGCUAAUACCGGAUACGCCCUUACGGGGAAAGAUUUAUUGCCGAAGGAACGGCCCGCGUCCGAUUAGCUAGUUGGUGAGGUAAUGGCUCACCAAGGCGACGAUCGGUAGCUGGUCUGAGAGGAUGAUCAGCCACAUUGGGACUGAGACACGGCCCAAACUCCUACGGGAGGCAGCAGUGGGGAAUAUUGGACAAUGGGCGCAAGCCUGAUCCAGCCAUGCCGCGUGAGUGAUGAAGGCCCUAGGGUUGUAAAGCUCUUUUGUGCGGGAAGAUAAUGACGGUACCGCAAGAAUAACGCCCCGGCUAACUUCGUGCCAGCAGCCGC
rnacentral:rRNA from 1 species